rnacentral:rRNA from 1 species
GCGACCCCAGGUCAGGCGGGACUACCCGCUGAGUUUAAGCAUAUAAAUAAGCGGAGGAGAAGAAACUUACAAGGAUC